rnacentral:rRNA from 1 species
CAAUGGGCGAAAGCCUGACGCAGCGACGCCGCGUGGGGGAUGAAGGUCUUCGGAUUGUAAACCCCUUUCGGGAGGGAAGAUGGGAUGGGGUAACCCAUUCGGACGGUACCUCCAGAAGCAGCCACGGCUAACUUCGUGCCAGCAGCCGCGGUAAUACGAAGGUGGCAAGCGUUAUUCGGAUUUACUGGGCGUACAGGGGGCGUAGGCGGUUCGGUAAGCCCUUUGUGAAAUCUUCAGGCUUAACCUGGAACAGUCGGAGGGGACUGCCGGGCUAGAGGACGGGAGAGGAGCGCGGAAUUCCCGGUGUAGCGGUGAAAUGCGUAGAGAUCGGGAGGAAGGCCGGUGGCGAAGGCGGCGCUCUGGAACGUUUCUGACGCUGAGGCUCGAAAGCGUGGGGAGCAAACAGGAUUAGAUACCCUGGUAGUCCACGCCUUAAACUAUGAAUACUAAGUGUCGGCGGGUUACCGCCGGUGCCGCAGCUAACGCAUUAAGUAUUCCGCCUGGGAAGUAC